rnacentral:rRNA from 1 species
UACGGGAGCAGCAGUGGGGAAUAUUGCACAAUGGGCGCAAGCCUGAUGCAGUCAUGCCGCGUGUAUGAAGAAGGCCUUCGGGUUGUAAAGUACUUUCAGCGGGGAGGAAGGCGAUGCGGUUAAUAACCGCGUCGAUUGACGUUACCCGCAGAAGAAGCACCGGCUAACUCCGUGCCAGCAGCCGCGGUAAUACGGAGGGUGCAAGCGUUAAUCGGAAUUACUGGGCGUAAAGCGCACGCAGGCGGUCUGUUAAGUCAGAUGUGAAAUCCCCGGGCUUAACCUGGGACUGCAUUUGAACUGGCAGGCUUGAGUCUGUAGAGGGGGUAGAAUUCCAGGUGUAGCGGUGAAAUGCGUAGAGAUCUGGAGGAAUACCGGUGGCGAAGGCGGCCCCGUGGACAAGACUGACGCUCAGGUGCGAAAGCGUGGGGAGCAAACAGGAUUAGAUACC